rnacentral:rRNA from 1 species
AUAUUAAUAAGGGGGAGGAAAAGAAACUAAAUAGGAUGCCCUUAGUAACGGCGAGUGAAGCGGGCGGAGCUCAAUAUGAAAAUCGAUUCCCCAAGCGGGGCAUCGAGUUGUAGCCUAUGGACGUACUAUCAGCUGAGACCUGGGUCUAAGUGCACUGGAAAGUGCCGGCGUUGAGCGUGACACCCGCGUAUUCGCCCCAAAGCUCUCAGCGUACGAUGUGCGUUCCUCGAGUCGAGUAGUUUGGGAAUGCUGCUCUAAAUGGGGCGUAAGUUUGCUCUAAGCUAAAUACUGCCAAGAGACCGAUAGCGCACAAGUA